UGGAAUGGGAAGAGCACUACUGAUGUAUUUAUAUAACACCUCUUCUGACCGUGAUCCAUAGAAAGAGCAACUCCGGCACCGGUAAAAUCAUUCAUCAUCAUGUCGACCUACUGCGGAAAAUACACUGGUUAGCGCGCUACCCUGACUAAAUAUUACGACGAUAUCAUCUACGACGAGAGGAAGAACAGACCAGAUUUGCUGAGUGGAAGAACCAAUAUGGAGUACCACCAGAUUCAGCUUGAGGUUCCUUUCCUUUCAGUUCAAGUGAAAUAGUCCUCAACAUUGCAGCCAAACCUUCAUUUCUAUGAGCUGUAAAAGUAAUAAUAAGCAAGCAAAUUUGAGUAGAUUUACUGAAGUUAAUACAAGCUAACUUCUCUGACUUGAUCACCCUUGAGCUUACUCUCGAUUCCAACAGAUUGUAAAUAGAUAUUGCGUAAAUUAGAAAAAAUAACUUCAUAUAAACUGAGAGCAAACAUCAUAUAGCAUUAGAUCGGUAGUUAGGAAGCAAG
rnacentral:lncRNA from 1 species